GAUGAAGAACGCAGCGAAAUGCGAUACGUAAUGUGAAUUGCAGAAUUCAGUGAAUCAUCGAGUCUUUGAACGCACAUUGCGCCCCCUGGUAUUCCGGGGGGCAUGCCUGUCCGAGCGUCAUUACAACCCUCAAGCUCUGCUUGGUAUUGGGCCCCGCCAGUUCUGGCGGGCCCUAAAGUCAGUGGCGGUGCCUUCCGGCUCCGAGCGUAGUAAUUCUUCUCGCUCUGGAGACCCGGUUGUGUGCUUGCCAACAACCCCCAAUUUUUUAAGGUUGACCUCGGAUCAGGUAGGGAUACCCGCUGAACUUAAGCAUAUCAAUAAGCGGAGGA
rnacentral:misc_RNA from 1 species